UACGAAGGGGGCUAGCGUUGCUCGGAAUCACUGGGCGUAAAGCGCACGUAGGCGGGUUGUUAAGUCGGGGGUGAAAUCCUGGAGCUCAACUCCAGAACUGCCUUCGAUACUGGGCGACCUUGAGUCCGGGAGAGGUGAGUGGAACUCCGAGUGUAGAGGUGAAAUGCAUAGAUACAUCAAGAACUCCGAUUGCGUAGGCAGCUAACUAGGCUGUAACUGACGCUGAGGCACGAAAAGCGUGGGGGAGCGAACAGG
rnacentral:rRNA from 1 species